rnacentral:rRNA from 1 species
GACUACCGCUAUUGGAGUUCGAUUAAGCCAUGCGAGUCGCGAGAAAUUAGAUUCUCGGCGUACCGCUCAGUAACACGUGGGUAACCUGCCCUAUGCCGGAUAAUAACCUCGGGAAACUGAGUAUAAUGAUCCAUAGUUCACUACGCCUGGAACGGUGAGUGGACGAAAGCUCCGGCGGCAUAGGAUGGGCCUGCGGCGUAUCAGGUUGUAGGGGGUGUAACGUACCCUCUAGCCCUCUACGCGUACGGGUGUUGGGAGACAUAGCCCGGAGAUGGAUUCUGAGACACGAAUCCAGACCCUACGGGGUGCAGCAGGCGCGAAAACUUGGCAAUGCGAGAAAUCGUGACCAGGGAACUCCAAGUGCAUCGGGUAAGACCGGUGCUUUUCUUGACUCUAAAUAGGUCUUGGAAUAAGGGGUGGGGUAAGGACGGUGCCAGCCGCCGCGGUAAUACCGGCGCCUCAAGUGGUAGUCGCUUUUAUUGGGCCUAAAACGUCCGUAGCCGGUCUGAUACAUUCGUGGGUAAAUCAACCAGCUCAACUGGUUGAAUUCUGCGAGGACGGUCAGACUUGGGACCGGGAGAGGUGUGGGGUACGCUCAGGGUAGGGGUAAAAUCCUGUCAUCCUGAGCGGACCACCUUGUUGCGAAGGCGCCACACUAGAACGGAUCCGACGGUCAGGGACCAAAGCCUAGGGGCACGAACCGGAUUAGAUACCCGGGUAGUCCUAGGUGUAAACGCUGUGGACUUGAUGUU